GAUAGGCACCAGCACCUCCCAGUCCUACUAAGGGACAAGGGUGUAUAGAAAAUGGAUGGAUGGAUGGAUAUUAUAAUUACCUUAUAACAUGUUCAGAUGGUUCUUAGAAUUUAGAAGGGUAUGUGGGAAUAGGAAUAUAUAUACCAGAGUUUAAAAUAUACAUUUCCAAAAGAUUACCAGAUAAACUAUCUGUUUUUACAGCAGAAAUGAUGGCAGUUAUAUUAAAUUUACAGUGGAUAGAGGAGGUUCGACCAGACAGGGUGGUGGUAUGCACAGAUUCUAAAGCAGUUUUAAAAAGUAUUCAGGGAGAAUGAAAUAAUAGGAAAGAUUUAGUAUUAGAAACUCAGCACAGUUUAUUUAAAUUACACAGGGGUGGCACUGAUAUUUGGUUCUGCUGGGUACCAACACAUGAAGGUGUAAAAGGCAAUGAAAAGGCAGACAAAUGAGCAAAAAGGGUUUUAGAGGGGGCAAUUAUAAUUUCAAUUCCUUUUGGGAAAUGAGAAGGGAAAUCACUUAAUAAGAAUAAAGAAAUAGAAAAAUGGCAAACAGGUGGAAUGAACAUAAGAAAGGAAGAUUAUAUAAAGUACAAAAGUCAGUAUUAAUUAGGAAUAUUACUGAGAGAAACAGAAGGGAAGAAAUAAUAAUGAUCAGAGUAAGAGUAGGUCAUACCUAUUUAAAUGACAUUUUAUAUUUAGAAGGGAGGAAAAAUAAUGAUGAAUGUGAAGGAUGAGGAGAGAAAUAAAAUGCAGAACACGCAUUGUUGAAUUAUAAAUCUGAAGCUGAAAGGGAGAAAUUCAGAAGAAUGUUUGGAAGGACUGGUCAAGAAUGGAGUCUUAAAGGAAUAUUGGGAAAUGAAGGAAAUAUAGGGGAUUUUUACAGAUUAAAAAAUUAUUUAGCUUCAGAAUACAAAUUUAAAAAAUAGAAUUUAAUAGAUAUAAAGUGGUGUUGCUACACAGUCAUAUACAGUAGGUGGCGGUAUGCACCUUAAAGUUGCUUGCGAUCCACCAUAAUGGAAAAGAAGAAGACAUAGCACUGACGUCACCCAAUGCAGAUGGAGGGCAAGAAGUAAAUGCAGCCCAUUUACUGCUGUUGAUCCAGCAACAAAAAGCUUAAAGUUUGUGUUAUGUACAGUUGUUCCAAACGUUCUAAUAUAUAUUAAAAAAAUAAAUGUUAUUUUUGUGUUUCAAGAGUAGUUGGUCACAAGGGAGUUAAUUUUAAAAACUUACUGAAAAAAGAGGAGAUAAGUGCAACAAACUACGGCUAAAAACAGGAGGUGCGGAAACUAACAAUGCCAGAGUUUUCAGUGACCACAUUCUAACGGGUAACCUUCGCAUCGCUGAAAUCGUAUUUUGAGGUAAUUUAUUGGACAGUUACUCAGAAAGACAAGCAUUCAUAUGUAAGGUAAGAUAUAUUAUUUUUACACGCUAGCUUGGUAGUCCCCAGAGUGCUAACGUUGUUAGCGGCUAACUCAGUGCCACAGCUUGUCAUAUCCACUGAACUGAGUGCUGUGAGUGUGUACGUCUCCUACCUUCUCUCCUGCAGGGUGUGUCAGACAGGCGUAGCCAGCUGCAGCUCAUCAUCUUAUCAGGAGGAGCAGUUAAAUAGGAGCUGGUUUCUGGUGGCAGAUGCCAGAUGGUCCUACGUAUCUAGUGGUACCUGAGCUUCCUGGUAACAGAUACUAGUGAGUCCCAGUCUCGUUUCUAACUUCGUACUUGUCCAUUUUUCUAUCCUCUGAGUUCUCGUUCAUGGUCCGAGUCGAACUUUCGCUGGUUCUGUUUCCCUCCCGGUGGCAUCCCCAUCAGCUGCAUGCUGAUAGCUGCUUCCUGUCUCCUGCCUGGCUCCUUCUUAUCUGCCCACCUUCGCUUCUGGAUCGCUCCCUGAUCAACCCGCUCGCUUGCCUGCCUGUCCACCCUCCAAUGGUCUCGGUGGAUAUCCCUUUUCCCCCCAGGAUCACCUCAUCUCCACCAACAAGCGAAUCCCUGACCAGUCCUCACCUCCUGCCUGUUGCCAUCCGUUCACCUGUCUGUCCCGGCUGCUGUUCAAAAUAAACUUUAGACUUACCUUUUACUGUGUUGUGUUUGCAAUUGUCCUGCACCAGAGUCAGGUAACCAAACAUGUCACAGCUAGCUCAAUGCUAUAAAAUUGUUAAUGAUUUUAUUAUAUUGGGGUCUCUCUAUUCUAGCAGGCCAUCUAUCUAGUCACUCAUUUGGGAUUAAAUUCCAAUCUUCUAUUAGUAAAAAUUUUGUAGCGUAUCGACUUUUUAAAUCCGCAAUGACAUUGGACAGGUGAUUUAACAUAAACAGGUUCUGGUUAUCAUUGUACUCGUAUACAUUAAUCAAUAUAACAAAAACAUCUUUAAUUUUUACCAUGCCUGUCAACCGGUGACCCUCUGUCAGUCCGGUGGGUCAGGACGUCUCCAGGGAAGUUGUUAAAGCAGAUCGCCACGCCUGGGGAUCUCGGGGAGCCGUGGCUGAACAGGAUCUGGUCGCCUUGUUGGUUUGACCAGAAUGAAGAGUCUGUUUCUGUGGAAUGAGUCUCCUGUAAAAAUAAACAAUUUGAUUUUUGCCCCUUGAAAAAUAAAAAUAAAGUUUUUCUUUUUGCCAAGUCUUUUAAGCCCCUAACAUUUAAUGAACCAAAUUAAACUUUAACAUUAAACGUGAACUGUAAUUAAAUUCAAACUACAAAAGAUGAAAAGUGUGGAUGAAUGAUCAACUAGCAAAGCACAGCCUUCAAUGCAGCUACCAGACCAUUUCUACCUUUUACACCUUUAAAGUCUUAUUAAAUCUACACCACUUUUGCUCCUAGUCAUUUAUGCUCCAAACUUCAAUAUAAGCAUGAGGACCCCUUGAAGAAGGCCCGUUUUCCCCCUCUUCUUGUCUGCUCAAUAAGAGGUCAGAGACGUCUUCUGUCUUCCAGAUCUUCCUUCGAGAUUAUCUCAGCAAAACUGAUGCCUUCAGUUUUACAUGUUGCAGAGUUCUUGCUUCAUCUCCACAGCUACUCUUUCACUCUUGUUUGAGCAAACAUGAUGAUCUGUCUGGUUCGACGAUCUUUCUUUCCCAGUCUGUGCACAACAUCACAGCAUCAUCCACUGCCGCAUCCAGAUCUGGGGCAAUCUUUAGUAGAGUUUUUAUUAUUGUCUCUCUGUUACUUUAAUCUUUCCUCUCCUUGAGUCCUCUCAGUCAGAGACACCAUUGCAUCUUGUAUCAUUUUAAAAGCUUUUAAAAGUUGUUGCAAGCAAAAUCCCGAAUACAAAGGUGUUUUGUAUCCGUUGUAAGCUUCUGAGAAUCCAUCAUGAACUUUCGGUUGGAAAUACACGUUACUUAGCCAGAAAGCUGGUUUUAUACAGGAAACACAGCUUGUCAGUCCGCCAUCUUGGUACCUCUCCUCAUUUUGCUCUGUUUUGAACUGGAGAAAUCCAUUUCUGGACGUCCUUCUGAAUUUUGUGCGUCAUCCAGGUCACCUAUCUGAAACCCAGCAAUUACAUUCCUGGCGGCACAGAGUCAGCCGUGUUCCCUCUUAACUGGAAGCUGUUUUUUAUUUUUACCUCAGAGUGGCCAACUUUAUAUUAUUCCUAUCUUGAGUUGAUGCAGUAGAGGCUUCUGCACUUCCCAUAUAUGUGCCCUCUCACUUUUUUCUGCCUUUACAACUGUUUAAUCGUUAACACAUCGUAACAUGUUUUUCCGAGAUGCCUUUAAACGCAACAUGAGCGCUCAUGCUGGGUUUACAUCUGCUGCUGGGCAGAGCUUCACAGAUGUGCUAGAAUCAUGGCAGCAAACCAACAAAAUGCAAAGAACUUUGCACAGUUUUUCCCCCCAAACUUAUACCAAGUGAGUUGAGUAAAGCUGUUGGAUGCAGGUAAUGUUAGCUAAAUGAUGAGUAGCUAAUGCCAACAUAUCACGUUAAGCUUAAGUACAGACUACUGAUGUUAUCUAUGUUCAUGUACUUGUUACAUUCACUUGAGUAACUUUUUUGGGAAAAAAGGUACUUAUAAAAGUAGUUUUACUGAACAGUACUAUUGUCGUUUUACUUGAGUAAUAUUAUUAGUGCUAUGUAUUGCUACUUAUUGUUUAUUUUGUACUAAUAAGCAUGGUUAUUUUAUUUGAAAGGUUACAUAAAAGUUUGUUUAUGUAUUUAUAUUAAAGUAAAACCUUGUCUUCCCUGUUCCCCCACAAUAUGCCGAUUCAACCCCCUGCUAAACUCGUCUGGAGCCGGGGCUGAUUGUAAAUAUUUUUUCCAACUACAAUACAAAUCACCUUUUUCUUUUCUCCGGUUUGUUAAAUACAACCCUGAUUCUUCCUGAGUUGUAUUUUUAUGUUUUCUGAUAAACAGGCUUUUACUUUAAAUAUUGAUUGCCUCAUUUUAACAUGAGUUAAAGUGUGUGUCCUUAUUAAUUUAACUGUCGGCAUACAAGGGAACUGCACAGUUUCUGUGUUUGUCCUCAGACCUAUAACCAAUACACUAUUUAAUAUUUCAAUGUGUUUCAAAACUUUUCAAAUGUUUAUUAUCCUUCUAACAGGCCCAAACUGGUGACACCCUCACUCUUACUUUUGUUUUUCAGCUGCUGCUCAGCAGUUUGACUCCAAGCUGACAGACAUGGACUACAGCAAUACUGUCAAAAAGUGGCUUUGUUACACAACAGAACGAGAGGAAGGCCUCAAGUAACCAAAGUGUCGCCAAUCAGAGUCAAACUUGGGUUACCCCAACGUGUCCUGUGUCCCUGGUUCGUUCAGUACAAGACUUAACCUCAUGGACAUUGUUAUUCCAUGGACAAUGGAAUGUUGUUCAAAAAAGAGUCAAAUUUACUUACAGAUCUAUGCCUGUUUUCUUAAAUAAAAUGUAAUAUUAUUGCCAUGUUGUCAUUUUUUAAGUUUGUGUAGACACAUUUUUGGAAAUAUAGUGGUGUAAGAUAAUUUUGAACGACAUAAUAGCCUACCAACAAAAUUGCAUGUUUAACACCAGUGAAGAAACUUGUAAUGGUAUGUUAUGAUGUAGAACUAUCAGACCAAAACAUGUACAUGAAUCAAUAUUUGUUCCUUAACUUUGAUUCAAUAUAAAAACACAAAUGUGUAGAUCCACAUUCAGAUGAUGGUUGAAUCAACAUUGAUAUAGUGCCAGUUAUGUUGAAACCCUAAUGUUGAUUCAACACCGACCACUUUCAAUAUCGUUUCACUGUCAGGCUUCAAUGUGGAUUCAGUGUUUCAGGGUUGAUUCACUCAUAUUUUGCUAUCUGGGAUAGCAACUCCAUAGCAACUGUCAUGACAGUUAGAGUACCUACAAAGAUGGCUGUCAACUGCAAAGUUCCUGAAAGUGUGAUGUCACAUGAGAACUAUGUGUUGAUCCCAAAAGGAUCCCAAGAUUCUUCAAAGAGUUACUGUACAUGGUGAUAACUGUGAGCAGGAAAGACCUGAAGCAGUAUGGUGGAGGAGGAAAAUUCAAACCAUCUCUUCCAUCUAGCAUAAUGGGCAAUGUGAGGCAUCAAUGAGGAUCAUGAUCUUUGAGUUGUCUUUAACAUAAUCGAGCCUGUUUUUAGCAUGAAGGCUUCUUCUAAUUCUCUGUAAUAUAGACCAUUACAAGAGAUCUUUCCUGUCAGCAGCCACCACCAUCCACAAUUUUUCUAUGAAGAGUUUUGAAUUAAUACAAGCUACAUUUAAUUUCCCUCUGGGAUAAAUAAAGUAUUUUUGAAUUUGAAUUGAAUGUGAAGAAACCUCCCUGUUUUUCUGUGACAGUCUCAUCAAAAGAAUGCUCAGGGUUGUUCAUAAUGUUCUUAAUUUUAUGUAAAAUCCUUCUUUGCACCAGUGAUUCCACAGUCGUCCCCAGCACAGAACCAGCCUUCUUCAUCAGUUUGUUGUUCAACAAGAAAUGCAAUUUAAAAUUAUUUGAGUCCGUGGUUCUGCUACUGCAGCCCCAACAGAUGAUGACAGAAGAGAUGACACUUUCAAAAACACACUUCUAGAAGAUGUUCAGCAUUUUGCUGCAAACCUUGAAGGAUCUAAGCUUCCUCAAGAAGUACAGCCUGCUCCGUCCUUCCAUCUCAACAGGGAUGGUUUCCCUGUUGAGUCUGCAGUCCAGUCUGUUUGACAGGAAGGCUGUAAGUCAAAGGAGGGUGGAAUGUCUAUUUGGCUGGAAUCAAGAUAGAAGAAUGAUGAGCUUGUUCCAGAAGUCAUUCUGUUAAAGAAAGUGUUCGGCUCGUUUGCUUUGUCCAGACUUCCUCUUUUUGGUUGAAGCCUGUGAGCUUCUUCAUCCCUGACUACGCAUUUCUGAUAAUGUCGUUUUAUAGCUUACUCUCCAGCUUCUUCCUAUGCACCUCCUUUAUGUCUCCAAUUUUGACUUUGAGCUGCUUAUGUAUAAUCCUCAAUUACUCCCUGCAUCUCACACUAAAGACUUUUUUUUCUUGUUUAGUAGCUCCUUCACAACUGGCAAUCCAACAUUUGUUAUUAGGGAAGGUUCUCACUGUUCUGGUGGGGAUGAUUUUGUCCCCACAGAGGCUCAUAUUCAGUCAUGACAUUGAUGUUCUCUUCAUGUGGCUGAUAAAGAGCAAAUCAAUCUGUAACCUCAAGAAACUGCAUGACUUCUUCAGCUUUCUCUGUCUUUGUCUUUGAUUACUCCAGAGGUCUGGCUUUGGAGACAUGAAUUCUUGACAUUAUAUUCUAUUCCAAAUUAUACAAAACCCAUUUUUUAGAGGACUGUAAUUCUUUAUUCAGUUGUAUUAAAAUUUGAUCCCACAUAUCAUCAAAACUUGCAAAAAAACGUUGUGAUGCUGAGCCUAAAAUCAAUUAACUUUAUGCUGUGGUUAAGAGGGUGCCCUUAAAUACAUUUCCUGGUUCAUGUGGCCUUACUGUUCAUUUUCAUAGUAAUAAACUUUACUUGAAAAGGGUCACUGUCUAGCUCAAACAUAAAUACCACCAUUUCAUACUGAAAUCAGAUUAUAGUAUAAGAUAAUUUGCAUAAUUGGUUGCAGGUACAAACAUAUUACAACAUUCUGAGUUUUGUGAUCAAUUUCAAAUAAGUUGCACCCCUGCAAAAUCUAAA